AUCCGGGUUGCGGACAGUGUCUGGUGGGUAGUUUGACUGGGGCGGUCUCCUCCUAAAGAGUAACGGAGGAGCACGAAGGUUGGCUAAUCCUGGUCGGACAUCAGGAGGUUAGUGCAAUGGCAUAAGCCAGCUUGACUGCGAGCGUGACGGCGCGAGCAGGUGCGAAAGCAGGUCAUAGUGAUCCGGUGGUUCUGAAUGGAAGGGCCAUCGCUCAACGGAUAAAAGGUACUCCGGGGAUAACAGGCUGAUACCGCCCAAGAGUUCAUAUCGACGGCGGUGUUUGGCACCUCGAUGUCGGCUCAUCACAUCCUGGGGCUGAAGUAGGUCCCAAGGGUAUGGCUGUUCGCCAUUUAAAGUGGUACGCGAGCUGGGUUUAGAACGUCGUGAGACAGUUCGGUCCCUAUCUGCCGUGGGCGCUGGAGAACUGAGGGGGGCUGCUCCUAGUACGAGAGGACCGGAGUGGACGCAUCACUGGUGUUCGGGUUGUCAUGCCAAUGGCACUGCCCGGUAGCUAAAUGCGGAAGAGAUAAGUGCUGAAAGCAUCUAAGCACGAAACUUGCCCCGAGAUGAGUUCUCCCUGAGACUUAGAGUCUCCUGAAGGAACGUUGAAGACGACGACGUUGAUAGGCCGGGUGUGUAAGCGCAGCGAUGCGUUGAGCUAACCGGUACUAAUGAACCGUGAGGCUUAACCUUAC
rnacentral:rRNA from 4 species